AAACUAACAAGGAUUCCCCUAGUAACGGCGAGUGAAGCGGGAUGAGCUCAAAUUUGUAAUCUGGCGGCCUGUGGUCGUCCGAGUUGUAGUCUGGAGAAGCGUCUUCCGCGUCGGACCGUGUACAAGUCCCUUGGAACAGGGCGUCAUAGAGGGUGAGAAUCCCGUCUUUGACACGGACUGCCGAUGCUAUGUGAUACGCUCUCGAAGAGUCGAGUUGUUUGGGAAUGCAGCUCAAAACGGGUGGUAAAUUCCAUCUAAAGCUAAAUAUGGGCAAAAGACCGAUAGCGAACAAGUACCGUGAGGGAAAGAUGAAAAGCACUUUGAAAAGAGAGUUAAAGAGUACGUGAAAUUGUUGAAAGGGAAACGCUUGAAGUCAGUCGCGUGCCUCGGGGCUCAGCCUUGCUUUGUUGCUUGGUGUACUUCCCGAGGGACGGGUCAGCGUCGAUUUUGACCGUCGGAGAAAGGCCUUGGGAAUGUGGCACCCUCGGGUGUGUUAUAGCUCUCGGUCGUAUGCGUCGGUUGGGAUCGAGGAUCGCAGCACGCCUUUAUUGGCCGGGGUUCGCCCACGUAUCGUGCUUAGGAUGCUGGCGUAAUGGCUUUAAGCGACCCGUCUUGAAACACGGACCAAGGAGUCUAACAUGCGUGCGAGUGUUUGGGUGGAAAACCCAGACGCGAAAUGAAAGUGAAAGGUUGGGACCUCUGUCGUGGAGGGCACCGACGCCCGGACCGGAGCCUUUAGGUGAUGGUUCCGAGGUAGAGCAUGUGUGCUGGGACCCGAAAGAUGGUGAACUAUGCCUGAGUAGGGUGAAGCCAGAGGAAACUCUGGUGGAGGCUCGUAGCGAUUCUGACGUGCAAAUCGAUCGUCGAACUUGGGUAUAGGGGCGAAAGACUAAUCGAAC
rnacentral:rRNA from 1 species